UCUUUCCAGGUCUGUGGUUGCGGACGCAAAUGGCUAUGGUCUGUGCGUCUUAGUCCAUGGCAGACGAGGCCAAAAGGAUCCACGUAAGUUCGGAUCGCGAUUCGAGCGAGCAUGGCUCGUCCUAGAGGUAAGCCGCACCGCCCGUCCUACUAGAGAUAUUCCGUCUCGCGGGCGAGAGAGUUUGUAGUGGGGGCAUCGCGUAGCCCGAAGCGAAGACUCCUGUGCGCGAGUGUGGGGUCAAAUACCAGGUCAGCUGGGAAGA
rnacentral:ncRNA from 1 species